CCUACGGGGGGCAGCAGUGAGGAAUAUUGGUCAAUGGACGAGAGUCUGAACCAGCCAAGUAGCGUGAAGGAUGACUGCCCUAUGGGUUGUAAACUUCUUUUAUAUGGGAAUAAAAUGUUCCACGUGUGGGAUUUUGUAUGUACCAUAUGAAUAAGGAUCGGCUAACUCCGUGCCAGCAGCCGUGGUAAUACGGAGGAUCCGAGCGUUAUCCGGAUUUAUUGGGUUUAAAGGGAGCGUAGGUGGAUUGUUAAGUCAGUUGUGAAAGUUUGCGGCUCAACCGUAAAAUUGCAGUUGAUACUGGCAGUCUUGAGUACAGUAGAGGUGGGCGGAAUGCGUGGUGUAGCGGUGAAAUGCUUAGAUAUCACGAAGAACUCCGAUUGCGAAGGCAGUUCACUGGACUGCAACUGACACUGAGGCUCGAAAGUGUGGGUAUCAAACAGGAUUAGAUACCCGUGUAGUC
rnacentral:rRNA from 1 species